UGGACACAUAAGUUUUCUUUCAGUUUCUCUUCUAUGUGAGGAAAAACUGUACAAGUGUCCUAUAGUAACACAGAAGCUAUCUGUUCAACUCUGAUGAGUUAAUAGAGUUGGAUCGUUCCACUUCUGACAGCU
rfam:Callipepla squamata strain Texas jcf7180005234313, whole genome shotgun sequence.